rnacentral:rRNA from 1 species
AACGAACGCUGGCGGCAUGCCUAACACAUGCAAGUCGAACGAGGCCUUCGGGUCUAGUGUCGCACGGGUGCGUAACGCGUGGGAACCUGCCCUUAGGUUCGGAAUAACUCCCCGAAAGGGGUGCUAAUACCGGAUAAUGUCUUCGGACCAAAGAUUUAUCGCCUUUGGAUGGGCCCGCGUUGGAUUAGCUAGUUGGUAGGGUAAAAGCCUACCAAGGCGACGAUCCAUAGCUGGUCUGAGAGGAUGAUCAGCCACACUGGUACUGAGACACGGCCCAGACUCUUACGGGAGGCAGCAGUGGGGAAUAUUGGACAAUGGGGGAAAGCCUGAUCCAGCAAUGCCGGGUGAGUGAUGAAGGCCUUAGGGUUGUAAAGCGUGUUUACCCGGGAGGAUAAUGACAGUACCGGGAGAAUAAGCUCCGGCUAACUCCGUG